GGAGAGAGGCUGUGGCUCAGUGGUAGAGCAUCUGCUUACUAUGCAGAUGGUCCCAGGUUCAAUGCCCGGCAUCUCCA